rnacentral:piRNA from 1 species
UAUCUAGAUCUAAUACAAUGUGGAAUGUGU